rnacentral:SRP_RNA from 1 species
AAUAAAUGCCAUAGGAAUGACAACCUUGUAACCUGGUCAGGAUAGAGAUAUAGCAGCCAUAUCGAGUAGUGUCAUGUCUUGUGGUUUUUUUAUAAGG